GCAGAGAGCUCGCAUCCGCGCCUUCUGCGUCCCCGCCGCCGGCAGCACCUCCCGAUCCUGCCCCGGAGGAGUCGCCCCCCUUCAGUGAAUCCUCCGGUAGUCCCGCUUCGCGACGCAGAAUUUCGACCGACUCGGAAAUCUUCUCUGAGGACAUUCGGGACAAUUGACUGGCUGAUAAGGAUCUCUUCCCUGCACACGGAGAGCUUUGACCCAAAAUAGAGGAUGGGGGUGGACAGAGGUUUUUCUUUGUUGCCACCAUUUGAUGUCACCAGGAGGGG